GAUGAACGCUGGCGGCGUGCCUAAUACAUGCAAGUCGAGCGAACGGACGAGAAGCUUGCUUCUCUGAUGUUAGCGGCGGACGGGUGAGUAACACGUGGAUAACCUACCUAUAAGACUGGGAUAACUUCGGGAAACCGGAGCUAAUACCGGGUGAUAUUUUGAACCGCAUGGUUCAAAAGUGAAAGACGGUCUUGCUGUCACUUAUAGAUGGAUCCGCGCUGCAUUAGCUAGUUGGUAAGGUAACGGCUUACCAAGGCAACGAUGCAUAGCCGACCUGAGAGGGUGAUCGGCCACACUGGAACUGAGACACGGUCCAGACUCCUACGGGAGGCAGCAGUAGGGAAUCUUCCGCAAUGGGCGAAAGCCUGACGGAGCAACGCCGCGUGAGUGAUGAAGGUCUUCGGAUCGUAAAACUCCGUUAUUAGGGAAGAACAUAUGUGUAAGUAACUGUGCACAUCUUGACGGUACCUAAUCAGAAAGCCACGGCUAACUACGUG
rnacentral:rRNA from 1 species